AUUGAACGCUGGCGGAAUGCUUUACACAUGCAAGUCGAACGGUAGAGGGGGCAACCCCUCGAGAGUGGCGAACGGGUGAGUAAUAUAUCGGAACGUGCCCAGUCGUGGGGGAUAACGUAGCGAAAGUUACGCUAAUACCGCAUACGAUCUAAGGAUGAAAGCGGGGGAUCGCAAGACCUCGCGCGAUUGGAGCGGCCGAUAUCAGAUUAGGUAGUUGGUGGGGUAAAGACUCACCAAGCCAACGAUCUGUAGCUGGUCUGAGAGGACGACCAGCCACACUGGAACUGAGACACGGUCCAGACUCCUACGGGAGGCAGCAGUGGGGAAUUUUGGACAAUGGACGCAAGUCUGGUCCAGCCAUUCCGCGUGCAGGAUGAAGGCCCUCGGGUUGUAAACUGCUUUUGUACGGAACGAAAAGGUCUCUCUUAAUACGGGGGGCUCAUGACGGUACCGUAAGAAUAAGCACCGGCUAACUACGUGCCAGCCGCCGCCGUAA
rnacentral:rRNA from 1 species